GCUUACGGCCACACCGCCUUGUUCACGCCCGAUUUCGGAAGCUAAGAUAGGUUGGGCCUGGUUAGUACUUGGAUGGGAGACCGCCUGGGAAUACCAGGUGCUGUAAGCU
ensembl:rRNA 5S_rRNA 5S ribosomal RNA